rnacentral:lncRNA from 1 species
GUUUACAGAACUUUCUAUGGCUGUAAUCUUUGCUGUGUGUUUUCAAUAAAAGUCUAUUUGAGGGCAAAUUAUGCUUUAUGCCCAGGAUGGAGCAUGCCUCAUUCAGACUCACCUGUAAUUUGAAAAAUGACUUCCACAUAAAGCUCCAAUUCAGGAACUUGUGAAGCAUGCUCACAGUUAACUUUUCACCAUUAAUUACAUCGAGAAAUGGUGUCUCUGCAGUAAAAUGCAAAAUCUUUCACAAACUGCUCUGUCAACACCAGAUCUUUUCAAUCCAGCUGUAAGGCCUACUUGCCCCCAAAUCCUGCCAGACUGUGCAAACUCUCUUCUGGCAAAAUAUUGGAAACACACUGCAGGAUUUCUGUUGAAGAAAGAACUAUAUCAUAAGCAAUGCCUUUAAUGAGCGAAUGUGUUCACUGAGCACCCCCAAAAGACCCAGAAAGAGGGCAAGAGCAAUGUACUUUCCUACAACGAAAUGUUUGACUGAAUGAUUGAUGGAGAUCCGAAAUGGUGAGAAUACCUUCAGUUCAUGUUAGAGAUGCGAUCUUGUAUUCAGCAAAGGAUGUGUGACUGUUAUAUGUUAACUGUUCUAUUCAGUUUUCAGCAUGUUUGAAUAGAGAGACGUUAAUAUUAACCAUAUGACAGACUAGUGUAUUAUUUGUUAAGAGUUAACACUUCAAAUCCUAUUGAAACUGUCAUUGUUUACAGAGGAAAAGAAAAUGAUUUUCAAACAUUGAAGCAGGUGAACUUAAAGUGAUUUGUGUGUUUCUCUAAUGCAAUUAUUUUCCCCCAUGGACCCUCCUAUUUUACAGUGAAUGGGACAACAUUUUCUCUGAGGUCUCGCAAUUAGGUAUGUAGAGGACACAAAAGAUUCCAUAAAGUUGCACUGAACCAGCUGAAAUGGUAGGCCAAAUUUUGCUUUUUUUUCUGAAUCUAAUGAUCCCAUUGAACUCGGUAGAUCAGAAGGGAUGUGUCAGUGCCAAAACAUAGUUUCUUCCUAAUAUGGCAUCUAGUCCUGCCCUUGGAAGGAGACUGUAAUCUCCUUAAAAGAGGUUCUGAACUCUGUCAUUUACCUGUAACAUAAUUAAAAAUAACAUCGGACCUAUGAAGUUUGAGUGUUAUCUGGUGUGAAUAUUCACAUGCAGAGCACUACGCUCAAGUAAACUGCGAUAACAGCUAGUUAGAUGAACCUGAACUUUCUUCGAACUGAACAGAGAAAGCCCUGCACCUCUUCAGUAUGAUGCUGUAGAGCAGAAUUGUGAGAGCAAUGCAUAUCCCUUUUGGUUUUGUUUUUGAUUUUUUUUUUUUUUUCAUUUUGCUUCUGAGUAGAAUUUCUUCAAAACAGCCCGCACAACCCCAAAAAGCAAUAUAAAGAUCCCAAUAUUUGAAGUAGGAAACGUGGGUGAGUAUGGGCACAUCUCAUGGUGCUAACCACUAAAAAACUUCAAUUCAUCCACUAUCCAAAGCUGAACGUUAAUUCUUGAAGGAUGAUAUUUCAAUAAACAAAUACACCAGUGAAGAAAGACAUCUUCAACAUGCUUUUGGCAUCUAGUCACCUGCCAGGCUCUCAGCUGAUGUUCUCAGUGCAAUCAUAACAGGGGAUUACAUCUCAAAUCUUUUCUACUCUAUAUCCGAUAGAGCGUCACACGUGAGUAGUCUGUCGCCAGAUGUAAGGGCCGCUACGCUGAUUUAUGGAGCUAUCUUCAUUCUGCUUAUAAAAAUCAUACUCAUAGCAGUAUGCAAAGCCCUGUCUAGAAAACGGCGCAAGGUUUGUUAGAUGAGUGCUUGGUGUGCCGUGUCCAUCCUUUUACAUGGGCUGAGUAUCACUGACCGGGCUUCAAAACCAGUGAAUUUAGCACCAUUUAAAGGUGGCUGAUUCAAAUGUUAUUUGUCAAAAUCCUCUGAAGCUUCUUGUUUACAUUUUGUAAAAACAAUGAGACUAUGGCAGGUGCUGGCACGUACCUGCUCCUGAAUCAAAAUGUUCAAACAGAUAAUUCACAUCUACUUAUUUCGUAGAGAGGGACAGAAGUUCACAUUCCUCUUUCCAAUUCAUGCCCAGCUACCCUCAGUCUAAUUAUGGACAUUACUUGAAGUCCUAAAAGAAAUGAUGAGAAUAAAUACCAAAGAAGAACUCUGUCAGAGUCUUAGCUGCAGCAAAUGAAAUUAAUGCUUGAAGGAGCAGACCCAGAAUAAAAUCUUUUCUUUUUUUUUAAUGACAUAAAUAUAUAUUUCCUUUCAAUGAAGCGUAGCUUCCCUGAAAACCUGUUCUCUUGGGAAGACAAUGAGUUUAUAUGAAUGAUCUGUUAUCUUGGCAUGAAUUUAAAAUCUUCAGGGAGAUUGGGAAAAAGUAAAUACUAUAAAGUAUAACAUAGUUCUGUAUCUUGCUGAAAAUACAAGGGAAUGCAGACUUUUUUUCCUUUUAUACUGUAUCAUUACUGUAAGUUGACUGUAAGAUUAUGAUCCCUCUGUUCUGAUGUCUACUCACAUGAAAACAACCAGGAUGCUCAGUUUUCAGGUUUUAGGUUUCUGAGCUCUUUCAAAUCACAAAUAUCAAACUGAAGUUUUGUAUUUUAUGUAGCCAAGUCUGUAUAUGAGAUAAAAAUGACAUAGCUUUUAUAACUUUAAUCUUACCAUGAGGGGGAAGCAGCCAUCCUCAAUGUAUGCUGCACAGCAUAAAGGUGCUUUCAUCUUAAUAGUAAAACUCAUAUAAGCUGUUUAUCUGUUGAAACUGCUAAAAAAAAAAAUUCUACUUGAAUUUGUUAAUUGACCACGUUAGUAAUAUUUGAGAAAAGGAUAACUAGCAGAAAUUCCUAAACUUUUUGUAGUUUUGUUUUCCACUGGAACCAGUGUUUUGAUUCAUUGUUACCAUAGCAAUGUCUUCAGCGUCUCCUAUAGGGACCAACUGCUGAGGCUGCACUGAUGGGGUGCUUACUCAUAUUUCCUUGAAAAGAUUUAGCUCCAUACUCUUUGGACAGCAGUCCUAUAAGCAGGGAGUGAUCUCCUGAUAUUCCAUAUAGCUGUUCUUGUGAAACUUUUCCCAAAUGAAAAACAAACUAAAAUCACAGCAGCACAACCUACAGGUUGGUUGGGUUUGGGGUUUUGUUUUGUUUUGUUUUCUACAAAGGAACCAUUAUAUUUUAUAGAUACAACGAAGAGCUUUUUAUUGAUGACUGAAGAAUGUAAAUUAAGUAUAGGAUAUAUGUAAGUGGCAUGGAAUUUCUCCAUUUGUAGCGUAGCUUUUAGUUGGAAAUUUGAAAACUAACAUAUUCUCUAGCACCACCAGGAGCAGACCCACAUGCAGUUUAUAUUUCUUUUUUUCUUAACACUACCCAUGGUCUGUAACACACCACUGUGGUGACGGGGUAUCUUGUCCUUUUUCCUCGCUCCUGCAUUGCAAAUCCCACUUCUGUGCUGUCUCGUAGCCUCAGACAUCACUGGACUGGCAGUAGUUCAGCAUUUAUAUUCACGUUCAAUUUUACUUUACCCUCAGAAUCAAGAAUAUAGCUUGAACCUAACUUUUGGGACAGCAGGGAAGUCUGAUGAGUAAAUUUAAGAUCCCAACUUUCAAAAUCACAUAUGCAUCCAUUUGUCUGCUGUGAGUAGUCCUAGAAAGACAGUGUUCCUGGAAGAAGGAUUUGUGGAGGCUGCUCUGUGGGGUGCUUCCCUGCCCUUCCACACAGUUAUCUGUUCUCAGCAGUUCCAGUCACAGAGCCUGCAAUUCUCUUCAGGUUUUCUUGUCCAAACAUUAAAUCCCACUGCUUGUAUGCAUAUGGCGCAAGGUACUACUGCUUGUCUAACCUGGAUAUUCAGGUGGGCAAAAGCAAACAUAAAGAACAGACACCGUUUGGGCAAAGCCAGCGUUUUCUUUUUUCCACUGGCUCCUUGGUAAGUUAAUUUUGAAGUACAGAGGAUUUUGUUUCAAGCCCACUGGUGUUUUCCCAUGAAUUACCAUCUUGACCACUUGUGUGGUGUUACCUAUGAAGUGCCGUGAUGCUGUAAUUUGUGGACAGCACUUGUUCUGGGAUGAGGAGCAGUCCCAGUCAGAGCAAAGCCUCUGACUCCUGCAGAGAACCAAAGACCAGAAGCCAUCUGAAGUGACGCUUCAAGUACGGCUUUGAGCUGCUGAUUCAUACUGAAGUGUUUCUGAAGGUUAAGACCCCCUAUCAUGCAUUCUGCUAAAUAAUGUAAGUAAUUCCAGCGUUUAUAAAACGAUCAGAAGAGUUAUGUAUAACACAAAUUGUUUUAAGUACAUCUUGUCUUGAAGGAAUACGGAUCACGAUUUCUUAGUUGUGAAAAUAUUUGGAAAUGAAGAAUACAGAUUAUAGGACAAGAAUACAAAAAAAAAAGUAUUAAGAAUAAUUAAUAUCCUACUGUUUCUAAAUAGGUAGAGGACCUCUCACUGUUGUGGCACAGCUUUUCCCACAGGAAGAGGAACAGAUUUUGAGUUGCGCCAGGGUACAACAUCUGAGGAGCUCACCUCACUUUCAUUUCUUUCUGAGAUCUCUCUCCUGUAAGUGAAAUUGUAGUCAUCAUCACUAAUUCUUUUUUUUUUUUUUUUUUUUUUUUUUGGUAAGAGAUGUCCAAAUUUUGAAAUUCUUUCAAGUGUGGAAUUUUGGAGGCUUCUGAGGACUUGGAUAAUUUCAGAACAGUAUUAAAUCAGUUUGAUUCCAACUGACAUCAUUCGUUAUACUUCAUUCUAUAUUCUCUUUGAUUAUUAUGUAAGUGAAGCUGUUUCCAAAGUUGUCUUAGAGUUGUCCUCAUAGACCAGAUUUUAGUGAGAUAACUGGUUCUGAUUCUGUAACUCCAGUUCUGAGCUUAGACUGAGAUGUUCCUGUUACAGAACAGGUCUGGGUUCUGCAGUCCAACAUCAUGUAUGUGUACUGGCAAAAAAUCUCCUUACGCUUUCUGCAACAGUGUUAUGCAUUAGAAUCCAAACACGGAUGGCGUGAGAGGGCUGCCGGGUUGAUCUUUCUUAUUAUCCCUUUUGUUUGCCUUUUAAAUAUAAUCUUCAGCACUACAUCUUUGUAUUUUGUAUAGAGAAGUGAAGGUAAAUUCAGCCUGUCUGCAUUUUCAUCUCAGCUAACUGUGGCAGCUUUUCUUCCAAAGCUGCCCAGGAGCCUAAUUCAUUUAAAUUCUGACUUCAGAGAAAGAAUUGAUACCCCCACAGGUGAGGGUUAUUCUGAGCAGGUUUUGUAGAUAUGUGUGCUUAUAUUUGCUUUCUUUCAUCCUAAUAAACUUACUUUCUGCCAAGAAAAAUGCUGAAAACAUUUAAAACAUUAUAAACACUGAAGCAAAGUUAAGGCAAGAGAUGUGCUCAGCCUUUUCUGAUGAGGGGCUAGGGGCUGAAGUGAGGGCUAACUACCAAAACCCUUCCCACAAGUAUGAUAGUAUUUUCACACAUGGGUGAUGCCAAAAUGGCUCAGAUAUAGCUGCAGGUAGUACUGUGUAUGUAAACUGCUUCAAUGGUUUGCAGUAUCUCACAAUAGAUUUUUCCAGCACCUAGGGAUAGCGGUUCAGGUUCAUUCAAAAAGCAGUUCUUAACAGGCAGCAGUGGCACCACAGUGCUGGUGCUAUGUGGAGCGCCGUAUCGUUUUCUGGCAGACACAGCAGAGCAGUCUUUGCCCCAGCCCUGUAGGCAGUGCUCUGUGCCAAGCCCAGGGCACCACAGCACCCUGCAGGCUGAGCCCCUGGUCAGGUCAAGAGUGAAAGCUGCCUUUCACAGUGUAGAAGGCUUCCUAGGCUGAGCAGGAACAUCUGUCCCAGAUGGAGACAAAAGGGUGACUUGGGGAAAAGUAUAAAUCAUAGCCCUUUAAAAACAAAACAAAAAAUCUUUCCUCUUUAACUCCAUACAGAUUAGCCACAAAGUUGGGUUUUCAUUCCAGGUUCUCCACUAAGUAGAAGCAGUCCUGCACUUACACUAAUAUAAAACUAUUUCUAGGUGGCUUCAGAGGAGAACUCAUCACUGUGCAAACACUGUGCUCCGAGGAGGUACCAGAGCUUCUGAGCAGCUUUCCUUCUUUGCAGGGAGGAUCUGGUUGCAGCACUUUGUCUGCUUUCAUCAGGUAGUUCACUGAAGUGCUGGCUGUGCCCUGCAUGGCUCGCUUGCUGUCUGCAGCUACCGUCCUGAGAACUAACUGUACUGAAAGCACUUAGAGAUGGAAUGAACGUAAUGGAGACGUGGUUUGCUGUUCACUGUGAAUAUCCAGCUUGGAUAGUUGGAAUAACUGCAAGGGAAGAAUUGCCUUUGCAAAUCAUGUGCCUGAUACACUGUCUGAAUAGUAUUUCAGCCCUCACUGUUUAGUGAACGAGGACAUUAAGAUGCCCACAAAUGGAAGUGGAAUGAUUGAUUCCCAGGAAUAGUUUAACAGUCACAAAUGCAGUUUUUCAGGCUUCUUGCUGAACACUAGCCAAGUAAUAAGGCUUCAUUUAAACAGAUGAACUUUUAUUGUAGACUUAUACCUGAUUUCCUGCUUUCCUUUACUGACCACCAGAUGUUUUUCCAUAUCACAUGAAUUUUUGUUUACCUUAAAGCUGAUCUGUAGAUAUGCAUGAAACAGCAGCUAGCGUGGACAUGAAGUCUGAGCAUUCCUCAUACUUAGGGUGAGUCUUGUGAAACCUUUUCAGCAGCCAAAAGUCUUGAGCCUUUCACUGACAUAAGACAACUAAAAUAUCAGCAAAAUUGGUUCUGCUGUCAAUAAAAUCACCAAUUAACACUUGACUUGGGUUUGGGGCUUCUGAAUAGUAUAUACAUAUGUAACACUACAUACACAAACUUUUGUAGAACACAAAAAUGAAUGAUCCAGCUUAAGGUUAGUUCCUCUAAAUAGAUGGAGAGAGUAUCCACUUAACCACAUAGCCUAAACACAAUGAAGAUGGGGAAAAAGCUGUCUAUUUUCAACUGUGUUUAUUUUUUCACCGAUAAAAAUAAAAAGAGAAGAAAAAUAAUCAUAGUGCCUAUGACAAAGAUUGUGUUUCAAGGAGUGUGCAAUGUAUACCACUAUUAUUUUGACUGCAAAUGAAAACCGCUUUUGAACUGACUGUGGUUCAAGAGAAAUUAACAUAGAAAAACUGUCACACAGCAUUCCAGGAAAUGUUUUGGUUCAGUAUGUUUGGCCUCCGUUUUUGUGGAGCUGUACAUUCCUGUCCAUGGUUUUAAAGGAUAAAAAAAAAGAACUGAUUUCAGAAUCAAUGUGUAUUUUGACUCAUUUUUAUGUUUCUGAUGCCCAGACUGGUUUAUGCACGUGUGUAAGCAAAGGUGAGCGGUGUCAUUUUCCCACCUAGUGUCACAAGUGAGUUUUGUUGCAUGUUACUGAGUUCAGUCUCUUUUCCUUACUGAAGCAGUAUUUUCCUGCUCUCACCAGUGAUCACUUCUCUCCAAGCAGAGGUCCUAUUAGAAAAGCUGCAGAGAGGGACAAGACCGAUUUGUCUGAAGAUGAAAGCUUUCUGAUCUCAGCCUUGCUGGCAAGAGGACCAGCUGGGAUUAGCAGGGUUGAGUUCAGUCCCUCACAUCUCUGCCCCCACACGGUACAUAUGUGAAGAGCUCAGGUCUUCAGCUGUUGAAGGUCUUCAGCUGUCAAAGUCUACCUUUCCAGUUUCACCUACAAGUCUCUCAGCUUCAGGCCCCCAAAAUGGAGCAGGUAGAAGGUAUCAGAACAGCACAUUCACAGGGAGAAUCAACUGAGAAAAGUGCCAGAGUUGGCAAUAUCUUUAGCUCUGGAGUCCAAGUAAAUAAAUAAAUAAAACAAACAAAUAAAUAAAAGAUGUUCUUUGCACUUUUCAUCUUGACACAGCGGCGCACAAGAAAAAGAGAAGAGCGAAUCUUAAAGCGGCUCAUUUUUGGAAAGCAGAAGGUGGACAUCCCCAGACAGGCCUGCAGAAGAGUGGCAGCAGACAAACUGUUUCUCUCUCCUGGCCAGUGAGCAGCUUGGCCUCUCAAGAGCGCGGUCAAUGCUGUCCCCCUGACGGGAGGCUGAGGCUGUGGGGCCUUCCAGCAGUGAUGUCAAACGUGGGCCAUCCAGCCCGGGUGGUGACACCACCCACACUGUGCAGACAGCUACAUUUGAGGUUACACUGUCAUGCAUAACCCCUGGUGGUUUGUGAUGAACUGCUUGGUGUCGAGAGUACCCAUCAUCCAAAACUCCAAUGGGACUUACUUUCUUCGAAGUAAGUUCCUCCAAAAAUUUCCCCCUAGUACUUGCCAGGUAGCCUCAGAGCAAAGCCUAGAGCUGCUUUGCUCCCUGCAGCUGCCAAUUCCCCUAGCCUUGUGCCAUACAACAUAACUCCUCCUGACAGCCAAUGGGAAUGCUCCCAGGGCUGGGGGGCAGCAUGGCCAUAGCCCUGUAGGGCAUGGGGACACCAGGCCAUGUCUUGGUUCUCUGCCACUCAGGCUCACUUCAUGCCCUACCACAUAGCUCCCAGACACCACUGUGCAGAGCCCUUGUUUCCUUGCUAGCUCUUAGGCCUUUUUUUUUUUUUUUCCUAAAUGUCUCAGAAUAUCUGUCUGGAUCUGUCACUUGGCUUUUGCUAAUGCAUUGUGUUUUACUUGAAAUCUGUUUUACUUUAAAGGUGUUAGUUAGUUAAAAUGCUUUUGAACACAUUGGCUUAAAGAGAAGCAGGAACAUGCUCUACUUGCAAAUCUGCUCUUCCAAGUCCCCUGUUUCCUUGGGCAGAGGUACUGUGAUGCUGAAUCCCAUUGGUCUAAAAGGUUUUUUCUCUUUCCCAGGGCUAAGGAGAACAUAAUGCUUCCUAAGGUAAGGCUGCCACACCAACACACAUGCCUGGCCUAACAGAAAGGACAGCCAGGUGUUUUGUUGUUGUUGUUGUUUGUUUGCUUUAAUGUUCUCCCUCCUCCUUCAGUGGUGGAUAUUAUCUUUGUUAUUUAAUUGUUCUAUGGCACAGUAACUAACUUUAUUAGAUUGCAAAGGAGUUAGCAUGUUAAAGUACAACAGUCCUAGCUUUCUCUCUCACUUUUCAGAGUAAACACUUUAACUGAUCAUUUCAGAAAUGUACCUAUUUAGUAAGAAUCCCCUUUGUUUACUAUUAUUCAAGAGUAAAUUGCAAGUUACUUGUCUGCCACUUUUCAAAACUGAAAAAUCUGAAGUUUCUUUAGAACAGAUUAUAUCACAGUAGGGACUGCAAGCAGUCAGGCCAGCCAGUGAAACACUGCAUGGAGAGGAUCUGUGCUGAUUUUCAAGUGUGCAACUUGAAAUGUAAGAAGUAGGAAAGUAAAGAGAGUAGCUCAUGACAUUCCUGUUAGGAGUCAUGCUUGAUACUUGCUUAAAAUUUCAUGUACUUUUGAAAUUCCAUUUGUGGAUGUUAACGACACAUUAAUUACAACUGCUUUGUAAACCAAACAUUAGACAGCUUCAGAAAUUCCUAUGAUGGUCUGCAUCCUAAUCAUUCACAACACUUUGCGUAGUAUAAGGUGCAUGGUAACUGCUGAGUCAUGGACUGAACCACUGAUUGAUCACCUAGGAAAAGGACCAGUCAGCCCUGGGAGCACAGGUGAAGGCAAUUCAGCUGUGUGACCAGAAGGGGUAGAGCCUGGCUGCACCUCUAUUAUACCUCAUUUAAGGGUUGACUGCCGUGG